GAAUGCUUUUUAAAUUUUUUUAAUGUUUAUUUUUGACAGAGAGAGCAUGAGUGGGGGAGGGGCAGAGAGAGAGGGAGACACAGAAUCCGAAGCAGGCUCCAGGCUCCAAGCUCCCAGUUCUUCAAGCUACAAUACAGUUGAACAGUAACAAGAAUUAGUCUAUGGAGACAAAAUAGCUUUGUGCUCUGAAAAUAUGGACUGAGUCUUUGCUUCUCUAAUGCUUGUUAUUUAGUCCUUAGUUCAGUUAUUGAACAGAGAUCUCGUCUUUAGUGUUUGUUUAAAAGGCAAUGCUAAUAUUUACUUCCAUGGGCUAUGUGUGGCAAAGUUUAAAAGAAGCAAUGGGUAUUUGUUUUUAUACUACCUGCCCUGUAAAACAAAACAACAAAAGGUUUAAAGUGCUUUGUAAAGUUAAAGGUGCAGUAAAAUAACUUCAGGCUAAAUGAACGAAAGUAAAGGAAGAUAAAGGUAGCAAAAUAGGGUAUGACCAUGAAUAAAGUCUGUACAGUCUAGCACAUUGGCUGAUACAUGGGGAUCAUGCUUCAACAGCAGUUCUCCACCAGAGGUGAUUUUUGUCCCUCAGGAGACAUUUGGAAAUGUUAGUAGACACUGGGGUCAUCAUACUGGGAGAGGGGACACAGUCCACAAGGAGAUAUUAUCCAGCUCAAAAUGUCAGUAGUGCCAUGGUUGAGAAAGCCUGCUCUACAACAUGAAGACUGACUGGCACAUCUUUUCCAGUGUCAUUGACUAUGAGUCUGGAGUUCUCUCUUGUGCAACAAGAGAGUGGACGCAGAAUUGAAUACAAGAGACGCUCAUGUCCGAGAGGAGACAGGGGCCCCAAACGGGCAUUUCGUCUCUGUAUUUAUUGAGCCCACAAGAUAUUACCCAUGUGGGUAGCGUGAAGACAACAAGAUCUUACACAUGUGGUGACUAUCAUACUUGCACUAGCCCUGCAAUGUGAGAAGAAGAUGCCUUCAUCAUCUUAAACCAGGAUGAAUAAUAGAAGGGUGAUCUCAGAGACAGGUUAAUCAUGAGAUGAACAGUGAAAAAGGUACACUUCUUCAAAGAGGUUUCUUUUCCCUUCUCACUUUGUGUUUUCUCCUCAAUCUAUUGAAAUCUGCCUUCUGCCAGGUCACUUUGAAGUUGUUCACAUCAAAGUAAGUGAAACACAUCUUGUUGCUAAAAGCAGUUUUCUAUCUUUAUCUCAGCAUUUGCUAUUGGGUUAUACCUUCCUUAACCUUGCAAUUCCCAGCUUUCAGAUCUCUGUUGUUGUUGUUGUUUUUACACUUCUUUUAUUAGGCUCCUGGUCCUCCAGUUUUCCCUUAAUUUUACAAUUCCUCCAGAUUCUGUGUCUCCUUUCCCCAUCACUACACUUUGUCUCUUGUUGAGCUUUUCACUGUCAGCAUAAAUCAUCUCUGUGCUGAUGAAUCUCAAAUCUAGUCCCCAUCUCCAGAGUUCCUGCAUUAGUUAUCUAUCAUGGCAAAACAAUUACCCAAAACCUAAUGGCUUAAACUGGCUCACAUUUAUUGUCUUACAAUUGCUGUGGGUCAGGAAUCUGGAUUCUGUUUCACUGAGUUUUUUGCUUCAUGGCUUCUCACAAAGCUGCACUCAAGGUGUCUGCUGAUGGUCUGCAUUCUCAUCUGAAGACUCAGCUGGGGACGGGUCAUAUAGUAACUAUAGUCAGCAUCCAGUUCCUUGCAUGUUUUUGGAUUAAAGUCUUCAAUUCUUUGCUGGCUAUUGGCCAGAGAGCACCCUGAGUGCUUCGCCACUUCAUGUGGGCUUCUGCAGUAUGACAGCUUGCUUCAUCUAACUGCGCAAACUCUAAAAGCAAUGGAGAGAGUGUACUAGAAUAUAGGAUUCAGUCUUUGUAACCUGAUCAUGGAAGAGAUAUCUCCUCAAUGUUUCCAUAUUCUACUGGUCAGAAGCAAGUUCCUCAAGGAGAGAGUGUUAGGGAAACCCUGAAUACCAGUAGGUGGGGCCUUUUUGGGGCCAACAUAACAAUGCCUACCAUAGCUCUAAACCAGAUAUCUCACUUCCCACUUGUACAUAGAAGUACAAGUCCCAUUAUCAAGUGGAAAAUGUACAAGUCUGAGUACACCAUCUUUUUCCCAUCCCCAAAGUAAGCUCAUUUCCAUCCUUUAAGUUAAUGGCACCACCAUUCACUGCAUUUCCAAAAUCAGAAAUGACAGGUAUUAUCAUGGAUUUAUUCUUCUUCCCUACCCCCAAUGUCCAAUUAUUCAUGACCUCCUUCUAGUUCUCAUUUCUAAAUACCUAUUAUAUCUGUAGUAUGAAAAUGCACCUUUAGUCUACCUGUGGUUUUUAUAACACAGGCUACACAAAUUCACACUCACCAAAAUCUUCUUUGUCAGUAGGGAUACAUGAAGUUGAAUGACAAAUAUUGUGAAGGGAAUAGCUUUCUACCUGAAUGAUAUCAGAACUUCCUAAUAGGAUGAAGUGGUUUAGUAUGGUUAUUUCCAGUAUGGGGAUGUAAGCUCAAAACAGUCGUGUGUGUUUGCAAUAACUUCUAUCAGCUGUUCUUGAAAAUAUUAUCUUCCUGGAAGGAUGAAUCCCUGGAAAAUGUUUCAGUCCUACCAUAUAACUUUUCAGAUAUUUUCAUUUAUUAAAUUUUCACACCAGUCCUAAGAAGUUCAGACCUAUUUGUUCUACUAUUUCAUCCUCUCAGGGUCUCCACUAAUGCACAGGAUGGCAGUGUAAGGGCAGGAGGGUGUUCCUGUGCAGAUCCUGGAAGCAGCAGGGGCCUGCACACAUCAGCUCAGAACUCUAAUUCCUCCCCAAACCUCUUCAGUUCUAGCUGCUUGGAAUUUAGACAUUGUGGUCUGCUUUUAACAAACCUCCUUUUUCUAAUGUGACCAUGAGAUGGGGAUGGCCAAGAGUGACAAUGGCAUUUUCUAAUUAGUUAUAACAUGAUUGGUUGUCACAUAUUUCAUAUAUUUCCCUAACUGCUAUGUCCUUCCAAGGCAGUCCUGGAAUGUUUGGGAGCUGUCUGCGCAGAAACAGAUUGGGGUAUACCACCUAUAAACUGGAGGCCUUACUCCUAUGCUCAUUUCGGUCGCUGCCAUCCAUGCCUUCAAGACCUAAGUCACCGGAAUCCCUAAAAUACUCCUCAUCCUUAGAUUCAGUUUAACUGGAUCAAUUUCCCAGGCCUAGAAAACAGUUGAUACUUGUUAUCCUGACAGCCCCAUUCAAAAAUGAGAUAUGAAAAGUAAUGCUUUCAUAGCGACAUGUGGGAAAGAACUAUAAAAACCCUUAAGACAUGGUUUGGCAGAGAUAUUUUCCCCAAUUCAAAAAUGAGUAGUGUUUUCUGGCAUCUGCUGUAGUACUUUGUGGCUGGCAGCUGAAUUAUCUUGGUCUCUGCCCAAAACUCUGGCUUCGAAAGCUGAUCUUCAAAUCUCCUGUGUUAAAGAAGGAUAUAAAACAUUUAAUGGUUGUUUGUGUGUCAAAAAUAAGACAUUAUAUUCACCAGAUUAGGAGAUGCUGUGCUUGUCCAAAUGGCCACAACAAUAAACAAAAUAAUUACUUUUUGCCUGGUAAUGUAAUGUUUAUAUUAUUCUUCUAAACAACCUAUGAGAUAGGAUAGGUUUUAACAGCCCAUUUUACAGAUAUAAAAACUGAGAUUCAGUGAGACUA